CGUGCCUCUGCCAUUUGCCACUGCGCCUGGCAACAGGUUAUGCCGGUGCUAUCCAUGCGUGGGGCCACGAAUAUCUGCCCGCUGCAGCCGCUCCAUCAGCACCGGUCAGGGCUCGAUUGGAGGAAGACCAUCUCCGGAAACUAGCGUCGCCUUCGUAACCCGCGCCAGCUGGGCUGCUGAAUUUACGUAUCGGAAUGACGCCAUGCAGACAUCCAUAGCGACCGGAUGCCUUCGGAGGUGGAGCCACGGGACAGGUUGCGCCUAAAGGUCGUGGGGCUUCAAGCAAGCUAAUACUUAUAUGACUAAUGUCUCACGCCUUUUUCUCGAAUACGCAUAGGGUGCCGCAUUUUCUUCCUCCAUAGCUUGUACAAAUGGUGUCUCUACCCUAUGCCGAGGGAGCUCAGGCCGGACAUAUCCUACACUGAUAAAAGGCAACAGGACACACGAAUGAAUGGAUCCUGGCGGCGCUGACAACAAGCAAGCAGCUUACAUAUUUGGGUGGCCGAGAGGAAUCCCGGGCCUACUUCACACAACUGUACCGGCGUUUGCAUGAAGCCGCCUGGGGAAGAAGCAACGCGGCACAGUCGGGUUCAAGGACUGGACCCCAGGUGGGCCUAAUUACUCUGUCACAGGAAUCAGUUCAAGAACCAAUUUGCCUCGUAUCUCUGUG